rnacentral:RNase_P_RNA from 1 species
CUGCCGGUCUGUCGCUCAUCUUCAAGAUGGGAGGAAAGUCCGGGCAACACAGAGCACCAUACUUCUUAACGGGAAGUUGUCUGUAAAGGCAAAGUAAUGUAACAGAAAAUAACCGCCGGAUCCGUCCGGUAAGGGUGAAAAGGUGAGGUAAAAGCUCACCGGGUUCCGUAGUAAUACAGAAUGCCGUACAUCUUAUGGGUUGUAAGGUCAUGUAUACCGGCGCAUGUAGGAUUGCUCGUCCGAUGCCGGGGGGUAGACCGCUAAAGCUUGCCGGUGACGGUAAGACGAGAUAAAUGGCAGACGCUUCCGCCAAUUGGCAGAAGUACAGAACCCGGCUUACAGGCAGGCUGC